rnacentral:lncRNA from 1 species
UUUUUUUCAGCACCAAAAUUUGAAUUUAACUUUUGUAUCAAUCAUAUAAGGCAUGUUUGUUUCAACGUAAGUAGACUUGCGAUGGAAGUGAACUUUGGGUUGAAGUGGAGUUCGGGUAAUAAAUUAAUUCACUUCUGCUAUUUGUUUCUAACUGUGGAAGUGCAAUUCAGCGAGUUCUGUUGUUUGUUUGGUUGGAAGUAGAUGACGUAAAAAGUAUAGCUCUUCACUCCCGGUAUACUUACCUCCGAAGUGAUAUCAUUGUUUAUUUUGUAACUUAGUGAAUAAUAAAUUAUAAUAAAUAAAAAUUAAUAUAAUUAUAUAUGCAUAUAAUAUUAUAUAUGUAUGAUUAUAAAAUAAAAUUUUACAAAAUCUGAUUAUUUGUUUGCAUAUAAAUUAUAAUAAUACAACAAAUAAAAUUAUAAAGUUAAAAAAUUAUUAACAUUUAACAAAUUCAUUUUUCAUCAUUUUCAAAAUAUACAAAUUAAACAAAAAAUAUAUUAAAACUUACCUUACCAAAUUUGAUCAUAUUUUAAGCAUACAAUCAAAAUAAAAAAUUUAAUUACUUCUACAAUUGAAUAUAUUUGGAGUUAGGUCUAGAACUCGGGAGAGGAAAGAGUAGAGAAGAGGGUAACCUUAACCCUAACACAUUAAUUCCCACUCUUGUCUCUUUUUACCUCACCGAAAUUGACUUCGUCCCAUGGGAGGGGGAAGUCAAUUUUAUUAUUUUGGGUGAACUAGACUUUCGGGCGUAAUAAAAUUAUGAUGAACCAAACAACGGAAGUGGUCUAUUUUCACCGAAAAUUACUUCUCCUUUCCACUUCCACCCCACUUUCGUACAAAUAAACAGGCCCAUAGUGUGUCUAUAUACCAACCAAAAAUAUUU